AGAAUCAACGCUGGCGGCGUGCCUCAGACAUGCAAGUCGAACGAUUAAAGCUCUCUUCGGAGAGUGCAUAGAGUGGCGCACGGGUGAGUAACACGUAAGUAAUCUACCUUCGAGUGGGGAAUAACGUCCGGAAACGGACGCUAAUACCGCAUAAUGCAGCGGCAUCGCAAGAUGACAGUUGUUAAAGAUUUAUCGCUUAGAAGAGGAGCUUGCGGCAGAUUAGCUUAGUUGGUAAGGUAAUGGCUUACCAAGGCUACGAUCUAGUAACCGGUCUUAGAGGUACGGUCGGUCACACUGACACUGAAGUAACGGUCAGACCUACCGUACGGGACGGCAGCGAGGUACGGGUAAUUUUGGGACUAAGUGGGACGAAGCCUACGACCAACGCCACGCCGCGGUAGAAGA
rnacentral:rRNA from 1 species